UGUAGGGGAGGUCCUGCGGAAAAAUAGCUCGACGCCAGGAUGAUAAAAAACUUCACACCUCCCGUUCUUCAUACUUUUUCAAUAUGAAAAAAAAAAAAAAAAA
rnacentral:rRNA from 1 species